GAUGAAGAACGUAGCGAAAUGCGAUACGUAAUGUGAAUUGCAGAAUUCAGUGAAUCAUCGAGUCUUUGAACGCACAUUGCGCCCCCUGGUAUUCCGGGGGGCAUGCCUGUCCGAGCGUCAUUGCUGCCCUCAAGCACGGCUUGUGUGUUGGGCCUCCGUCCUCCUCCCGGGGGACGGGCCCGAAAGGCAGCGGCGGCACCGCGUCCGGUCCUCGAGCGUAUGGGGCUUCGUCACCCGCUCUUGUAGGCCCGGCCGGCGCUUGCCGACACAUCAAUCUUUUUUCCAGGUUGACCUCGGAUCAGGUAGGGAUACCCGCUGAACUUAAGCAUAUCAACAAGCGGAGGA
rnacentral:misc_RNA from 1 species